UAUUUUUGAAAUAACACAAGGACAAAAUGGUAAAAAUAGCCAUUAUGCCCUCGUUAUUAACCCGUCCCCUCUAAUUCAAACCCUCUCUCACACUCGUUUUGCUCUAACAUUUUUCUCUGCAGACGCUACAAACCCUAACCCUAUUUCGCCGCAAGAACUCAGCUUUUCCGAUAGGCUCCAGCUGGUAAGCAGUUCCCUGUGAAAGUUUUAUCUUAUUUUCUCCGUUUUGUGCAAUAUAGUUUGGAAAUUCACUAUUAUUGAUUUACUGAGCUGAAUAGUUUUGUUAGAUUUUGAAAUAAUUUGUUUUACAAGAUCUAUGAUCUACUUACAUGUAGAGUUAAGUAGCAAAAAUGGGAGAGAACAAGGAGAACGAUGCUUACGAGGAAGAGCUUCUCGACUACGAAGAAGAUGAUGAGAAGGCCCCCGAUUCCGUCAACGGAAAAGUUAACGGCGAGUCCGCCAAGAAGUGAGCUUUAUACUUCAUUCUCUAUGUUCUGUCACUUUUUUCUUAUGUCUGUUUGAACAUGCGAACUUACUAUGUGUGUGUGUAAAGUAAGUUGUGCGCCUCAGCCCAUGCCUCUUUGUGGAGUUCUUUUUCAUAUUUUUACUAUGUAAUCCUGUACCCGUAUGCAUGAGAUAAUCAAUUCAAUUGUUGCGGCCCAUCCCUAUUAUGGAUUGAAAGUGAGAAUUUUUUUUCUCUAUGUGCUUUAAAGUUAGUAAGUGAGAUAUAAAUAUGUAUUUCUUAUUUUUUUUUUUAAUAUAGUUUGAGUUUGGAAGACGGGUGCCCUCUCUUAUGUAGCCAUGUCUAUAUAGUGAGACGUGAGAAUUUUUUAAAUAUGUCUGCAUGUUCAUUUGAUAAAUGAUUUAGUUUGCGACGAUGUCUGGUUAAUACUCCUCAUCUUACGCCUAAGAUUUUUUAUUCUCGCAUUAAGUCUGAAAUGUUUUUGUCAUGCUUUGUCAAUAUAGGGGUUAUGUUGGAAUUC
rnacentral:lncRNA from 1 species